rnacentral:rRNA from 1 species
AAUCCAUAGGUUAAUGAGGCGAACCGGGGGAACUGAAACAUCUAAGUACCCCGAGGAAAAGAAAUCAACCGAGAUUCCCCCAGUAGCGGCGAGCGAACGGGGAGGAGCCCAGAGCCUGAAUCAGCAUGUGUGUUAGUGGAAGCGUCUGGAAAGGCGCGCGAUACAGGGUGACAGCCCCGUACACAAAAGCGCAUGUGCUGUGAGCUCGAUGAGUAGGGCGGGACACGUGGUAUCCUGUCUGAAUAUGGGGGGACCAUCCUCCAAGGCUAAAUACUCCUGACUGACCGAUAGUGAACCAGUACCGUGAGGGAAAGGCGAAAAGAACCCCGGCGAGGGGAGUGAAAAAGAACCUGAAACCGUGUACGUACAAGCAGUGGGAGCCCCACCACCAAAGCAUUCUCUGGUGUUGAAGGCCCUGCAAAGCAGCAUCGCGGUGGCGGAGCGUCGUUUGCGACGCCCAACACACAAA